rnacentral:rRNA from 1 species
GAUGAACGCUGGCGGCGUGCCUAAUACAUGCAAGUCGAGCGAACAGACGAGGAGCUUGCUCCUCUGACGUUAGCGGCGGACGGGUGAGUAACACGUGGAUAACCUACCUAUAAGACUGGGAUAACUUCGGGAAACCGGAGCUAAUACCGGAUAAUAUAUUGAACCGCAUGGUUCAAUAGUGAAAGACGGUUUUGCUGUCACUUAUAGAUGGAUCCGCGCCGCAUUAGCUAGUUGGUAGGGUAACGGCUUACCAAGGCAACGAUGCGUAGCCGACCUGAGAGGGUGAUCGGCCACACUGGAACUGAGGCACGGUCCAGACUCCUACGGGAGGCAGCAGUAGGGAAUCUUCCGCAAUGGGCGAAAGCCUGACGGAGCAACGCCGCGUGAGUGAUGAAGGUCUUCGGAUCGUAAAACUCUGUUAUUAGGGAAGAACAAAUGUGUAAGUAACUAUGCACGUCUUGACGGUACCUAAUCAGAAAGCCACGGCUAACUACGUG